CGAACGAGUUCUCGUUGAUGAUCGGUGCUUGCACUGAGAUUCAACAUGGGAACGAGUGGCGGACGGGUGAGUAACACGUGGGUAACCUGCCCUUAAGUGGGGGAUAACAUUUGGAAACAGAUGCUAAUACCGCAUAGAUCCAAGAACCGCAUGGUUCUUGGCUGAAAGAUGGCGUAAGCUAUCGCUUUUGGAUGGACCCGCGGCGUAUUAGCUAGUUGGUGAGGUAAUGGCUCACCAAGGCGAUGAUACGUAGCCGAACUGAGAGGUUGAUCGGCCACAUUGGGACUGAGACACGGCCCAAACUCCUACGGGAGGCAGCAGUAGGGAAUCUUCCACAAUGGACGCAAGUCUGAUGGAGCAACGCCGCGUGAGUGAAGAAGGCUUUCGGGUCGUAAAACUCUGUUGUUGGAGAAGAAUGGUCGGCAGAGUAACUGUUGUCGGCGUGACGGUAUCCAACCAGAAAGCCACGGCUAACUACGUGCCAGCAGCCGCGGUAAUACGUAGGUGGCAAGCGUUAUCCGGAUUUAUUGGGCGUAAAGCGAGCGCAGGCGGUUUUUUAAGUCUGAUGUGAAAGCCCUCGGCUUAACCGAGGAAGCGCAUCGGAAACUGGGAAACUUGAGUGCAGAAGAGGACAGUGGAACUCCAUGUGUAGCGGUGAAAUGCGUAGAUAUAUGGAAGAACACCAGUGGCGAAGGCGGCUGUCUGGUCUGUAACUGACGCUGAGGCUCGAAAGCAUGGGUAGCGAACAGGAUUAGAUACCCUGGUAGUCCAUGCCGUAAACGAUGAAUGCUAGGUGUUGGAGGGUUUCCGCCCUUCAGUGCCGCAGCUAACGCAUUAAGCA
rnacentral:rRNA from 1 species